rnacentral:rRNA from 1 species
CCAGCAGCCGCGGUAAUACGGGAGUGGCAAGCGUUAUCCGGAAUUAUUGGGCGUAAAGCGUCCGCAGGUGGUCUUGUAAGUCUGUCGUUAAAGCGUGGAGCUUAACUCCAUUUCAGCGAUGGAAACUACAAGACUAGAGUGUGGUAGGGGCAGAGGGAAUUCCCGGUGUAGCGGUGAAAUGCGUAGAUAUCGGGAAGAACACCAGUGGCGAAGGCGCUCUGCUGGGCCAUAACUGACACUCAUGGACGAAAGCCAGGGGAGCGAAAGGGAUUAGAUA